GGCGCGGUACCCAAGUGAUAAGGGAGGGGCCUGCAAAGCUCCUUACGGUGGUUCAAAUCCACUCCGCGCCUCCA
rnacentral:tRNA from 1 species